rnacentral:RNase_P_RNA from 1 species
CGAGGCGACCGGAUGGUCGCGCGCCGGCGGGGCAACCCGCCGGCGUGAGGAAAGUCCGAGCUCCACAGCGCAGGGUAGCGGGCAACUCCCGUCCGCCGCGAGGCGAGGACCAGCGCCACAGUGACGAUGCCGUCAGCUUCGGCCGACGGAGUGAAACGCGGCAAGCUCUACCCGGAGCAAGGCCAAGUAGGAGGGCGUAACCCGGUUCGCCGGGGGAGAGGCGCGCUGCCCAGCUCUCGGGUCGGCCGCACGAGCCGGCGGGUGACCGUCGGCCUCAGAUGGAUGGCCAUCCCCGCGACGUCGAUGUCGCGGGACAGAACUCGGCUUACAGGUUGCCUCGCUGA